ensembl:lncRNA
GGGCUGGACAGUGAUUGACUCUAAGGAAAGGGAGGUUGGAAAGUCCCUUGGGCAUGAGCUAUUGACCAUGCAUGCUUCUUCGUGGGUCGCAUGUUCAGAAAAUGGCAGCAUUAGCAUGAUCUGAGGGUGGAGAUUGUGGCCCUUUGACAUCAAAAGAUCACUCACCAGGAGUGCAAGUCUAUUCUGUGUAGACUGCAGAUGGACACAUUAAUGGGUUCCAACUUGUCUCAGACUGUAAGCCAGUUUUGUUGCAAACUAAGGGGAUUGUAACAAAGUGUUUUCUUCUCUGUGCUCCUGCAAGACAAGCUCAAGAAAUUUUGCUACUUACCAAAUUCUCCAAGAAAAGGAUAGUAGCUUAGAAACAGAGAAGGAUUGAAGAAGUAGUUUGAGAAUUAAGAAAGAAUAAUAAUAUACAAGCUCAAAGAAAAGAGAGUUUCAUGAAAAGAAUAAUUGUCAACAGUGUCAUGUGCUACAGAGAGGUCAAGGAAAAUGAAGACUGAAAGAAAAAAAUCUUAAUAGUAACUGCAGAAUGUGAUAUUGAUUCAGGAUAGGCCAAUUCGUAAAGAAAGUAAUCAUGCAACAUAUGCUGUAUUUUCAAUAGAAUUUCACUCUACUUAUUACUAAAGAAUGAAUUUAUUUAUAUAGUAUAAAAUUUUUAUACUUAUAGAAAUUGUAUUUUUUCUAGAUCAUAUAGUUUUUCUAAUCCAUAAGAAAGUCAUAUCUCCUAUUUGACUGUCUUUCAAAAGGUAAUUAAAUAAUCCUGACAGGGCAUCUUUUAGAAACAAUACAUACAAAUUCUGCCUUGGUCUUGAAUUUUUGAUAUUUAUGGUUAUUAUGUUUUGUGACAAAUAUUCAGAAUAAGAUAAAAUAGGCCAUCUCAGAAUAAGAUUAUAAUGUGGUUGGUCAGAAGAAAGUCUUCUAAGGAAGUAUCUUUCACUUCAAGUCAUUGUCUGUUUUUUCUGUGGUUAAUACUGGAGCUCUCAGGGCUGCUAAAUGUCAUUUUCUGUACUACUUCACAAUCUAACCAUACAUAUUAACGUUUUCCUUCAACACCCCUAAGAACAGAAAGCCAUCUCUAGAAGCAGCUUUAAAGAUUCACAGUUAGAUCCAGAGUAAAAUAACGGAUUGAAAAGAUAGUUUGCAAACUAUUUAUCGUCCUGCACGAAUAUGUAUAUAUGGGAACAAAUGACAUAUUUAUAUGUCUAUAAAUCCUUGUAAAAGUUUUAUUCAGAGAAAGAAUCAACAUGUAUUGACUACAUGGCUAUUUAAUAUUGAGAAAGCUAAUAAAGAGGUAGAAGAGACUCAUUCUCUGCCAUCCCAGAACUGUCCUCUUAGAAAGGCAGUAUCUGAAAUGAUAGUGAGCAGUAUGAAAUUGGCUGUAAUUGAAAGCUGAAUUGUGUGAAACAAGCUAAGUUUGUGCUAUUGGAGUCGAGAAGAGAGAAAGAUCAGUGAAGGCUAGAGGGAUCGGGAAGGUGGGAUUUGAGUUGGGCUUUGAAGGAUGAGUAGUCUUGAAUGGUGGGGAAGGAGAAGGCAGAGUGGGUACAUAAGCACAAAUCUGGAAUAUGUAUAGAUGUGUUUGUGGAACAGUUGUGAAGCCAACCUAACUAGAUUCAAAGGGGAAUAGUAGAGAAUGGGAGAAAAUCUGAUUGGACAGAGUGGGAUCUGUGUAAAAACAAUUUUUAAAACCCAGAAAAUAUAUACUCCACAAAAAUCUCCUGUACUUUUUUAGCUGCCACAAAUUUUCGGGCCAAAUUUAUUACACAUAUAUUCUAAUCUUCUGGAGCUACUUCCUUUAGUGUGGAUCUGUUCACUUUUAUCUUCACAUGUCUUCUCUUGCAGUGAAUUUUAAUCUGAGUCCUCUGAAAGUUAACUUGUUACAAUUUUUAUUGUUGUUUUGUCUUUUCCUCACCACUUCAAAUUAGGAUUGAACCAGAUUAGUCUUGUUUUAAAUCCACUACAGCCUUUUGAGCUGGGGAGUAAGGUCUCUUUGAGAAGGCUGUUUUCAAAGCUGGAUUACAGAUUGACUAGAAGGGAAGAAAGCCUGAGUAUAGUGAUUAGUCUACCCAAUGCGUUGUUUCUCAAAUUUUAGGUGUAGUAAAAGGAAUCUGUGGAUACAUUUUAAUGAGAACCUAAUACUUUCGGGUCUCCAGUAAUUGACUUAGGCUUACUUUUAAUAUAUUGUUGCUUAAAUAUAAAAAUAGGCACAAACUCUAUAUGCUGUAAGAAUUUUAAUAAAACAGAUAAAACUAAAGGUAAUGUUCACUUAAUGUGCCUACUGAUGCUAGAUUUAAUAGUAGAGCUUCAGAUCCACUUGUACAUUUUUUUGACCUUAUCAUUACAAAUGCAGAGCAUCCCUGUUGUAUAAGUAGGCUGAACAAAAUGGUACUAGUACCUUCAGUCAACAUUUUGUGAUAGAAUUCACGACCAUCAGACUCCAUACCGAAUGAAAAUUUUGGUAGUGAGCAACUCUGAAAUUCCAGUUUUAAUAGGAUGUCUGCUCUAUAACCUUGUAAAGCUGUGUUGCUCACAUGAAGAGAAGGCUAGGAUUGGAAUCUAUGUAACAUGGAUAUUUAAUCCAUUUACUGCUGCAAUCAGGAAGCAAAAAAUUAUUCAGUACAUAUUUCCCACUCAAUUUAUAGCUAAUGAACAAUUGCAAGUUGGUCCCCAAAGAUUACAUCCUUAUAGUACAACUGCUCACAUCCUGAAGAUGGUACUGACUGUUAUGUCACAGUUCUCAUAUGUCCAGCUUGCCUAGACUGUUGUGUGAAAGAGCAUUGCACCCUGUGAUGACUCAACUCUCUGAAAAAUUUUCUCUCUUCAAAUUGUUGUGAAACCUUCAUUAGUACAGUGCACAAUGAUGUUGCUUGGCUUUUAUGUAAUAUAAAAGCAAAUAUAUAUAUAAGCCUUUUUGUAUAUCAGUGAUCAAUACGCUAGUUACUUAUAAGGUGAUGAUGCAGGAUAUCCUUAUGUAAACACUUUUUACUGUACCAUAAAAUGAAAAAACACAAAACUGUAAAUAUACCCUGCUUUAAGAAAUAAUGCCCUAGUGAGCUCCACUGACUUUUUUUUUUUUUAAUGAAAUUGACUGCAACAUUGGGAAUUACAUCUUGUAAUUAAUAUAUUUGUUACACUGGGCUCUUUUAGAACAGAAACUUACUCCUGACCCCUUAAGAAACAAAAUGAAUUUUACUUUCUUCUGUGUGUCUGUUCAUUCUUUUCUAUUUAUCUUUAAACUGGCUUAUUUCCCUCUUGAGUAGUGUCUUUCAUCCCAGAUCAUGCCUAUGUUACCUAUGAAUUAACUGCCCCUAAAGGAAACAGAUGUCCACAAUGGUCCCUUCAUUGGCCACUGUUGAUGGGGGAAAAGCCUAUUUAGUACUGCUUUCCUAAACAACAACAACAAAAAAAACUAUGAGGGUGAUGGUUUCAGCUAGAAGUGGUGUUGGGUACAUCAGGCACAAUGACCUGAGGCAACUGUUUGCACUCUAAGAAAAUAUCACCCCUUUUAGGGUCAUGGGAAAUCCAAGUGUAAGUUAUAUUCAUUGCCUCCACUUACUCCUCAACCUUCUGCAAUCUGGCUUCUGCUCCCCUUAUUUCAAACUGAAAUUACUCUCAUUAAGGUCUCUAAUGACCUUCAUAUUUCUAAGUCUGAUCAUUUGUCUUUAUUUUACUGCAUCUUUCUACAACAUAUAUUAUUGCUUAUUCCAUUUUUCAAAAUAUCUACUCCCCUGAAUUCUAUAACGUGUACUCUAAUGGUUCUUUCUAUGCCUCUCUGAAUAUUUACUGUUUUGUUUCAUGGACUCUUCUUCCUAUACUUAUCUCUUAAAUGUCACUGUUUCCCAGGAUUUGAUCAUUAGCCCACUGCUCUUCUCACUGUAUGUAUAUUCCUGAAUAAUGGCUUUCAUUACCAUCUACCAUCUAUUACCUAAAUCUCUCUCACUCUUUCCAGGCCUCUCCCCUGAACCUUGGUCUUGUAAUAUUUGCAACAGCCUUCUGGGCAGGUUCACCCAGAUGUUUCAAAGGCAUCCAAAUUGACAAAUCCCAAACUGAACUCAUCAUCACCUGGAAUGCACCUUUUUCUCCUAUGUAUUCUUAGAUGAUAGAACCACCAUUCUCCCAAACAUAUAGGCUGGGAAUUUUAGAGUGAUCUUGGACUCCUUUUCUGUCCUCCAUGUCCAAUUAAUCCCUAAUUUUUGUCUUGUCUUUUUAAAGUUCACCUACUGCAUGAUCACCAAAUUGAACUAUCUUACCAUUUUACUCCCUAUUGCGUAUCUGAAGUUUAAGAGCCUUAAAAUGGCACAGAAGCCCAAUCUGUGUUCUAACCAUCAUCCCCUGCUUUUAAUCAAUACUGAUUUUGUUUGUCGUCUUAACACACACAUUUUUUCCCUCAUAUUUUCUCUUCCUUUCCUCACAGCAUCUCCUUUUCCUGGAAUAUACUUUUCUUCCAGGAUAAUUCAUCCAUAUCCUUUUUAAGAAUCUACGACAAUAUUGCCUUCUCUAGAAACUCUUCCCAAAGAUGCUUCCCCUAAGGCUUGGCUGAGUAUUUAAUUUCUGUACUCCUGAACAGUAUACCCCUCAUCAUAGCACUCACUAUAACUCUCUUCUUAUUAUCUUUGUAUGCUAACCCCAUUUGAGAGAGAACACCAUGAGGCAAAGUACUGAGACAAUUCAUUUUGGUAUCAGGGGAUCCAAUAUAAUCUAAGUUCUCAAACUGACUCGCUGAGAAUUAUAUAGAAGAGUACAGAGAGAGCCUUAAUACAUUUCCAUUAGACUAAUUUUUAAACCAAAAGGCCACAAUCACUGAUCACUGCAUAGUACCUGCCUUGAAAGACUGGCUCAUUUAUCUCUGUAUCCCUCUAGCACUGUGCCAGGCACAUAGUCAAUGUUCAAGAAAAGAUGGUUGAAAUAAAUUGCAGGCCAGUUUUUGGACAGAGGGAAAUAUGCCUGACAUUGGAACAGACUCUGCUUAUGACAGCAAGGCUCCUCCUCUUUCGAGUGCAUAAGUCUACUCAGAACACUGAAUUAAAUUUCAGCAGGUUGCCUGGUAAAUCUGCUGUCCUAGAAAAAAAAAAAAA